GCUCAGAUUGAACGCUGGCGGCAGGCCUAACACAUGCAAGUCGAACGGUAACAGGAAGCAGCUUGCUGCUUUGCUGACGAGUGGCGGACGGGUGAGUAAUGUCUGGGAAACUGCCUGAUGGAGGGGGAUAACUACUGGAAACGGUAGCUAAUACCGCAUAACGUCGCAAGACCAAAGAGGGGGACCUUCGGGCCUCUUGCCAUCGGAUGUGCCCAGAUGGGAUUAGCUAGUAGGUGGGGUAAAGGCUCACCUAGGCGACGAUCCCUAGCUGGUCUGAGAGGAUGACCAGCCACACUGGAACUGAGACACGGUCCAGACUCCUACGGGAGGCAGCAGUA
rnacentral:rRNA from 1 species